rnacentral:ncRNA from 1 species
GUCUGUAUUGAAAGAUGAGACGAUUAGCACUCCCCUUGACAAGGAUGGAACACAUAAAUUGGUUAAUGCACAUCUUGACCACAUUUUU